GAUGAACGCUAGCGGCAGGCCUAAUACAUGCAAGUCGAACGAGAUUAAGAGGCUUGCUUCUUAUGAAAGUGGCGCACGGGUGCGUAACGCGUAUGCAACCUACCUUAAUCAGGGGGAUAGCCCGAAGAAAUUCGGAUUAAGACCGCAUAAAAACACAGGAUAGCAUUAUCCAAUGUUCAAAUAUUUAUAGGAUUAAGAUGGGCAUGCGUGUCAUUAGCUAGUUGGCGGGGUAACGGCCCACCAAGGCGACGAUGACUAGGGGAUCUGAGAGGAUGACCCCCCAGACUGGUACUGGGACACGGACCAGACUCCUACGGGAGGCAGCAGUAAGGAAUAUUGGUCAAUGGAGGGAACUCUGAACCAGCCAUGCCGCGUGCAGGAAGACAGCCCUCUGAGUCGUAAACUGCUUUUAUUCGGGAAUAAACCUUUCUACGUGUAGGAAGCUGAAUGUACCGAAGGAAUAAGGAUCGGCUAACUCCGUG
rnacentral:rRNA from 1 species